rnacentral:rRNA from 1 species
AUACGGAGGGUCCGAGCGUUAUCCGGAAUCAUUGGGUUUAAAGGGUCCGUAGGCGGGAAUCUAAGUCAGUGGGGAAAUCUUGCAGCUCAACUGUAAAAUUGCCAUUGAUACUGGAUUUCUUGAAUUAGUGUGAAGUGGUUAGAAUGUGUAGUGUAGCGGUGAAAUGCAUAGAUAUUACACAGAAUACCAAUUGCGAAGGCAGAUCACUAACACUAUAUUGACGCUAAGGGACGAAAGCGUGGGGAGCGAACAGGAUUAGAAACCCCUGUAGUCC